rnacentral:rRNA from 1 species
UACGAAGGGGGCGAGCGUUGUUCGGAAUUACUGGGCGUAAAGGGCGCGCAGGCGGCUCUGAAAGUCAGAUGUGAAAGCCCCGGGCUUAACCUGGGAAUUGCAUUUGAUACUCUGGAGCUUGAGUACGGGAGAGGAGAGUGGAAUUCCCAGUGUAGAGGUGAAAUUCGUAGAUAUUGGGAAGAACACCGGUGGCGAAGGCGGCUCUCUGGACCGUAACUGACGCUGAGGCGCGAAAAGCGUGGGGAGCAAACAGG